AGUGCUCCCUCUUCAGCUCCCUCGCGCACCGCACUGAUACCGGAGCCGGAAGAUGACGUCAGUGCGGUGUGCGCGAGGGAGCUGAAGAGGGAGCACA